GGGUUGUGAGGUUAAGCGACUAAGCGUACACGGUGGAUGCCUUGGCAGUCAGAGGCGAUGAAGGACGUGCUAAUCUGCGAUAAGCGUCGGUAAGGUGAUAUGAACCGUUAUAACCGGCGAUUUCCGAAUGGGGAAACCCAGUGUGAUUCG
rnacentral:rRNA from 1 species